AGGACAAACAUAAAAAAUGAAGCAGGUCGGAGAAGAACACAAACCCAUGCUACUACCCUGGAGUCUGUGGAAGGGGAAUGGCAGAGGAGCGCGCAUUGCCCUUCCGCAUGAAGUCUGGGACCGGGCACGAGUGUUGGAGAUGAUGAGGUCCGCAUUGGGAACAAGGGAUGAAACCUGAUGGCGAGAGCAUCUGAAUAACAAAGGAGUCCAUUCUCCGUGUUUGGGGUGUACGUGGUCCCUAGGUCACGUCCUCUUACACCUUACUCCUACAUACAAUUGCAAAUAUGAACGUCUUCAGAGAGGUGGACCUUGACAUCACCAGAAACUACCAAAAGAUUGUAAUACUUCGAUAAGAUAGAAAAAUAACUGCACGAAUGGGUGAAGGAACCAGCAUAGUAAAUGUGAAUAACUUCUGAAAGGGUGAAAAGAAGCGAGAUCAUAAACCCAAGCAAGGACAGGCGUCGCUGGCAGUCUCCAGAACCUGGCUGAAGAGUGAGCCACAGCAGAGCUCCAACGGAUGAGCAAGCAAAGCCUUGCAGGUGCUUCCUUCUUCAUAGGUGGGAAGAAUGGCCGGCUCAGAGUGCCGUUGUGACCCCUUGAGAUCCAUUCUCUGACAAACAGAAGCUAACAUUUUAUUUGUCUUAUGCCCAGCCAGAAUACUGUAGUUUAUGGAAUGACUUCUUGGGGGCGUUCUUAAGGUACUGCCAGUGUUGGAAACGUUACCAUCAACCUUGCCUUCCAAAGGCAAUUGUAUGCCUUCUAACCUUAAACUGUGGUUUGGUUUGCGCAUGGCACCAAACCUGCUCAUGUAAUUAUAGUUGUUGUUGUUUCUCAGUGGAGCUCACAGUGGAGAAACCUUACGUGCAGCCAGUAGAAUGGAAUGUUGGAGUAUUUGAGUAUGUUUUCCACUUGACUGUGACAAAGUAAAUUCACAGGCAAUGCACAUGGGAAGAACUUUGAAGCCCUUCAUUCAAUACCACAUAAAGAAACUGAAGAUAAAGGCCUGAUUUCUGCAUAUGUGUGGUAAUUUUAUUACACAUUUACUUUUGCCUUUUAAUGCUUGUGAGAAAGAAUUAAGGGCUCUGACACUUUUAGUACUUUUAAUUUCCAAGAAAGACCUUCAUUCCAUCCUGUUGCUGGAAGUGAGGAUGGGCCUACCUAUUCACAAAUAAGUGAGUUUUUCACCAAAUAAUUCUAAAAGAUUUUCUGCGUAUAUUACUAUAACCAACAUAAAUUAACAGGAAUGAAGAUGCCAAGAGACAAUUGAAGACUGUUUGGGUUUUUCAAAAUGUAAAAUCACAUAUGCCAAUUAACCUUUCUAUGUUUAUAGCACUUUUUGAAUAUUCCAGAACUCCAACCAAAGACUGUAUGGUAUGCCUUUCACAAGUAUCUUUUAUAUGUUAUAUUUAUGAGUACUUGGUUUGAUACCUGCUGAUUUCAGAUAGCAUACAUUUUGGGGUAAGCUACUUUAAAAAUGCAUCAUUUUUAACACUGAAAAGUUGAAGUUACAUGUGUAUAUGAAAUUAUCAAAGUAUAAACUAGGCAUAGUCAUGCAUCGGUGUGUGUGUGUGGGGGGGGGGUGUGCACAGCAAGCUGAAUACCUAGCGUGUUUGACUGAGGUUCUUGCGCCUUUCAACUUCAACAUCCUGAGGUCUGAUCAGCUCCAGCCUGGUGGAGGUGAAGCUCCCUGCGGUCACCCUUCCGCUCACCCUGAGGCGAGGCGCAGCAGGGCUGCAGGUCCAAGACUUGAGGACGUCCUACCCCCGGGACAGCCGUCUUACCAGAGGGUUGGAGGAGUGCUCGGGGUAGCUGAGGAGCAUUUGUAGUAGUUGGGGACUCGCGGGAACGAUCUGGGAUGGUGUGAAAAGGUCAGCUGACGGAGUCUGGGGGCAGCUGGCCCAGGUACAGAGGGAGCUUUUCCACUCCUUCUGCUUCUGCCAACAUGCACGAUCCCGCAGGAAGAGCAGCUCUGACACAGACCUCCGCGCGCUGCCACACUUCGUCCUUGGACGGCUGGAUUAAAUGUUCUUUAUACCGCAGAUGACUUUGUCCUUGGACGGCUGGAUUAAAUGUUCUUUAUACCAUAGAUGACUUCGUCCUGUUGGAUGGCUGGAUUAAAUGUUCUUUAUACUGUAGAUGACUUCAUCCUGUUGGACGGCUGGAUUAAAUGUUCUUUAUACUGUAGAUGAUAGGAAGAAAAAAACCCACCUCCAAACAAAAACAACCCUGUACCUGCAUAUGGCUUCAUGUUUUAAUACAUGCUGCUUCAUCUUAUAAAAUAGUUGUUAGGGUGCCUUUCCCCAUAAACUUGCCGUUCAAGCUAGAGUCCUGUUUCCUGCCAUUGUGCUUUCUAUGAAGUGCCGGUGAUGUAUCGUGCAGUGCUGAGACCUGACCUGGGUUAAGGGGUGCCCAGACUUUGCCCUUGGACCAGCUGGGUGUAUGCAGAUACGGCUUGACGUGAUGGUGUACAGAUGGCCUUGGAAUCUGAAUCAGGAUGACAGGAAGAGGAACAAGAACACAGUCCAG